AUGAACGCUGGCGACGUGGAUAAGGCAUGCAAGUCGAGUGGGUUUAGACCCACGGCGGACGAGGUAGUAACGCGUAGGAACGAACCCGGGAGUCAGGGAUAAUCCGUCGAAAGGCGGGAUAAUACUUGAUAGUCUCUUUGGAGUAAAAAUUUAUUGCUCCCGGAUCGGCCUGCGUAGUAUCAGCUAGUUGGUAGUGUAAUGGACUACCAAGGCUAUGACGCUUAGGGGAGCUGAGAGGCUGACCCCCACCGAUGGAACUGAGAUACGGUCCAUACACCUACGGGUGGCCGCAGUCGAGAAUCUUCCACAAUGGGCGAAAGCCUGAUGGAGCGACGUCGCGUGAUUGAUGAAGUUCUUAGGAAUGUAAAGAUCUUUUAUGAGGGAGAAAGUUAUUGAUAGUACCUCAUGAAUAAGGGGUUGCUAAACUCGU
rnacentral:rRNA from 1 species